UUUGAUGAGUCAAGAAAGUUUCAGGAGGAUUCACUUGGCUCUUCUUACAGUGAAUUUCAAUUUCAGGCCAUACAGGCAGCAUGUAGGAUCUUCCAGCAACCAGGUGUCACCAUCGUGACUUUAUAAUCACAGAUCCGAGAAAUGACCAUGAGAGCUCUGCUGAGACUUGAACCUGGUGCUGACCUAGAGGCCCUGCAGGGGGCAGGAGUGGAACUGGGGUUGGGCAGACAUCCUCUUCAGGAGGCCUUUGUAUGGUCACAGAAUAGCGGGAGCCUGCUCUCCUCUCACAAAGCAAGCAGGAGCCCUUCCAUGUCACCCAUGAUUGUUAGCAACGGUGGUGAUCAGGGAACUUGCUGUUCCCAUCAGCUUAAAAUAU